rnacentral:rRNA from 1 species
GAUGAACGCUGGCGGCAGGCUUAACACAUGCAAGUCGAGCGGGGGAAGGUAGCUUGCUACCGGACCUAGCGGCGGACGGGUGAGUAAUGCUUAGGAAUCUGCCUAUUAGUGGGGGACAACAUCUCGAAAGGGAUGCUAAUACCGCAUACGUCCUACGGGAGAAAGCAGGGGAUCUUCGGACCUUGCGCUAAUAGAUGAGCCUAAGUCGGAUUAGCUAGUUGGUGGGGUAAAGGCCUACCAAGGCGACGAUCUGUAGCGGGUCUGAGAGGAUGAUCCGCCACACUGGGACUGAGACACGGCCCAGACUCCUACGGGAGGCAGCAGUGGGGAAUAUUGGACAAUGGGGGGAACCCUGAUCCAGCCAUGCCGCGUGUGUGAAGAAGGCCUUAUGGUUGUAAAGCACUUUAAGCGAGGAGGAGGCUACUCUAGUUAAUACCUAGGGAUAGUGGACGUUACUCGCAGAAUAAGCACCGGCUAACUCUGUGCCAGCAGCCGCGGUAA